rnacentral:rRNA from 1 species
UGCAGUCGAACGAUGAUGCCCAGCUUGCUGGGCGGAUUAGUGGCGAACGGGUGAGUAAUACGUGAGUAACCUGCCCUUGACUCUGGGAUAAGCCUGGGAAACUGGGUCUAAUACUGGAUACUACCUCUUACCGCAUGGUGGGUGGUGGAAAGGGUUUUACUGGUUUUGGAUGGGCUCACGGCCUAUCAGCUUGUUGGUGGGGUAAUGGCUCACCAAGGCGACGACGGGUAGCCGGCCUGAGAGGGUGACCGGCCACACUGGGACUGAGACACGGCCCAGACUCCUACGGGAGGCAGCAGUGGGGAAUAUUGCACAAUGGGCGGAAGCCUGAUGCAGCGACGCCGCGUGAGGGAUGACGGCCUUCGGGUUGUAAACCUCUUUCAGUAGGGAAGAAGCGAGAGUGACGGUACCUGCAGAAGAAGCGCCGGCUAACUACGUGCCAGCAGCCGCGGUAAUACGUAGGGCGCAAGCGUUGUCCGGAAUUAUUGGGCGUAAAGAGCUCGUAGGCGGUUUGUCGCGUCUGCUGUGAAAGCCCGGGGCUCAACCCCGGGUCUGCAGUGGGUACGGGCAGACUAGAGUGCAGUAGGGGAGACUGGAAUUCCUGGUGUAGCGGUGAAAUGCGCAGAUAUCAGGAGGAACACCGAUGGCGAAGGCAGGUCUCUGGGCUGUUACUGACGCUGAGGAGCGAAAGCAUGGGGAGCGAACAGGAUUAGAUACCCUGGUAGUCCAUGCCGUAAACGUUGGGCACUAGGUGUGGGGGACAUUCCACGUUUUCCGCGUUCCGCGCCGUAGCUAACGCAUUAAGUGCCCCGCCUGGGGAGUACGGCCGCAAGGCUAAAACUCAAAGGAAUUGACGGGGGCCCGCACAAGCGGCGGAGCAUGCGGAUUAAUUCGAUGCAACGCGAAGAACCUUACCAAGGCUUGACAUUCACCGGACCGCCCCAGAGAUGGGGUUUCCCUUCGGGGCUGGUGGACAGGUGGUGCAUGGUUGUCGUCAGCUCGUGUCGUGAGAUGUUGGGUUAAGUCCCGCAACGAGCGCAACCCUCGUUCUAUGUUGCCAGCACGUGAUGGUGGGGACUCAUAGGAGACUGCCGGGGUCAACUCGGAGGAAGGUGGGGAUGACGUCAAAUCAUCAUGCCCCUUAUGUCUUGGGCUUCACGCAUGCUACAAUGGCCGGUACAAAGGGUUGCGAUACUGUGAGGUGGAGCUAAUCCCAAAAAGCCGGUCUCAGUUCGGAUUGAGGUCUGCAACUCGACCUCAUGAAGUCGGAGUCGCUAGUAAUCGCAGAUCAGCAACGCUGCGGUGAAUACGUUCCCGGGCCUUGUACACACCGCCCGUCAAGUCACGAAAGUUGGUAACACCCGAAGCCGGUGGCCUAACCCCUUGUGGGAGGGAGCCGUCGAA